AACGAACGCUGGCGGCAGGCUUAACACAUGCAAGUCGAACGCCCCGCAAGGGGAGUGGCAGACGGGUGAGUAACGCGUGGGAAUCUACCCAGUUCUACGGAACAACUGAGGGAAACUUCAGCUAAUACCGUAUACGCCCUACGGGGGAAAGAUUUAUCGGAAUUGGAUGAGCCCGCGUUGGAUUAGCUAGUUGGUGAGGUAACGGCUCACCAAGGCGACGAUCCAUAGCUGGUCUGAGAGGAUGAUCAGCCACACUGGGACUGAGACACGGCCCAGACUCCUACGGGAGGCAGCAGUGGGGAAUAUUGGACAAUGGGCGCAAGCCUGAUCCAGCCAUGCCGCGUGAGUGAUGAAGGCCUUAGGGUUGUAAAGCUCUUUCAGUGGGGACGAUAAUGACGGUACCCACAGAAGAAGCCCCGGCUAACUUCGUGCCAGCCGCCGCCGUAAUAC
rnacentral:rRNA from 1 species